rnacentral:rRNA from 1 species
CGCGCGCGGCGGGCGGGGCGGGGGCACGGGGGGCCUACGGGAGGCAGCAGUGGGGAAUAUUGGACAAUGGGCGAAAGCCUGAUCCAGCAAUGCCGCGUGAGUGAUGAAGGCCUUAGGGUUGUAAAGCUCUUUUACCCGGGAUGAUAAUGACAGUACCGGGAGAAUAAGCUCCGGCUAACUCCGUGCCAGCAGCCGCGGUAAU